GACGGAGGAUGCAAGCGUUAUCCGGAAUUAUUGGGCGUAAAGCGUCCGCAGGUGGCUAGUCAAGUCUGCUGUCAAAGCGCGGAGCUUAACUUCGUAAAGGCAGUGGAAACUGAUUAGCUAGAGCAUGGUAGGGGUAGAGGGAAUUCCCUGUGUAGCGGUGAAAUGCGUAGAGAUGGGGGAGAACACUCGUGGCGAAGGCGGCCAGCUAGACCAGUUCUGACACUGAGGCGCGACAGCGUGGGGAGCAAACAGG
rnacentral:rRNA from 1 species